GUCUGGGUGGUGUAGUCGGUUAUCACGCUGGUCUCACACACUAGGGUCCCCAGUUCGAACCUGAAACAGACA